GGGCCGGUAACUCAGUCGGUAGAGUAUCGGCCUUUUAAGCCGAGAGUCGCAGGUUCGAGUCCUGCCCGGCCCA
rfam:Thermodesulfobacterium commune DSM 2178, complete genome.